rnacentral:lncRNA from 1 species
GGACUAGGCUACUUUUAGAUUUACACUUUAUCCCUCCAUAGUAUUUCCUCCAUAGUAUUUGCUUUACAUGCGUGGUUUAAUAGUUUAAAAUAUUUUCCUUUUCAAUCAUGAACAUAAUUAUAAAGACAUCGUAUGUAAGCAUCCAUGCGUAAAGAUCAACCCGUACAGACUUGUUUGAAUUAAUGUGUUGCGCCAUUCGGAGAUGUGCUUAGCCUACUCUGUAAUUUAACCAGUUUCUGUUUCUACUGUGUGCAUAAGGGCCCAAAGUGGCAUUUGUAUUUAUACCGUGCAUCAAUUAUAUUUUGUGCACACAUCCAGAUACUCAGCUCGUUUGUGUGAUUACUUUUUUUAGGGACGGGAGAGAUUCUCUGAUUAUUUAUUUGAAUGGUGGUGGACAGGUCGCGGUUAUCCGGACAGGAGCCUAUUACGCCCUGUCUUAAAUCGCUGGAUAACAAAGUUGUCCUUCCUCUGUGUGACUGUGAGUGAGUUGGCUCAGCCCCUCCCUCAGCCCUUCCUCACACAUCUUUGGUUGAUACUGCGUGUCUGAUUGACAGGAACAACCAGAUUCGGCUCUUCUGAUAUGCGAACAAGCUCCCAACGUUCACCUACAAGAGCCGGCUCUUAGAGCCAACUCGUUCGCGAACGACCCAUCACUACUGAGGAAAGAAAGAAAGAAAGGGAGAGAGAUGCUUUUGUGAAGCGGGAAAACAUUUUAUGUACUAAAAAUCGUUUUUCCCCGAAUUGGGUUGAACUGCACUGUUGUUCUGCCCCUGAACAAGGCACUGUUCUUAGGCCGUCAUUGUAAAUAAGAAUUUGUUCUUAACUGACUUGCCUAGUUAAAUAAAGGUUAAAAAUAAGUUUGGACUUGGACAUUACAUGGAAGGUAAUGACUGGAGAACCUAAAGCGAGAACAGGAGAAGAAAAAUAAACUGAGUCCACUGAAGAAACAAAUAAAACUGAAGAAGCAACAGAAGCAACUGAAGCUGAGGAAACAUAUAGAACAAAUGAGGAUGAAACAAAUGAGGUUAAGAAAUAAGAAAUCUGAUUCAGUUGAAGACAACUCAGAAGAAAUGAAGGAAGCAGAAGCAGAGAUAAGAUGAUCUCUAAGAACUAAGAAAGCUCCUACACUGCUGACCUAUGACACACCUGGAGUUCCUAGUGUGGUGUCUGUUCCUAUAGUGAGAUAUAUCACUUCUAUAUACAAGUGGAUUGGGUAGUAUUAUGUGUGUGAAUGUAUAUUUUGUAAACAUUUAAUCAGAUUGGUUUUAUUUUUUAUAAAUUACGUUUUACUACAGCCUUCGCUGUUGGCCUAUGUUGGUUAAAUUAUUAUGUACUGUUACUUGAAAUAUGUUGGGACAGUUUUUGUUCACCUGAAGGGUGUGUGAUCAUUUGGGCCAAUCAAGAUGGACUAUGGGUGGUGUGCAGAUGGUUUUGCAGGUUUUCCAUUGUUGCCGAGGAGAGAAACAAAAGGGAGAGAGAUGCUCUUGUGAAGCGGGAUAACAUUUUAUGUACGAA